rnacentral:rRNA from 1 species
UACGGAGGGUGCAAGCGUUAUCCGGAUUCACUGGGUUUAAAGGGUGCGUAGGAGGGCAGGUAAGUCAGUGGUGAAAUCUCCAAGCUUAACUUGGAACUGCCGUUGAUACUAUCUGUCUUGAAUACCGUGGAGAUGAGCGGAAUAUGUCAUGUAGCGGUGAAAUGCUUAGAUAUGACAUAGAACACCAAUUGCGAAGGCAGCUCGUUACUACGAAUAUUGACUCUGAGGCACGAAAGCGUGGGGAUCAAACAGG